UACGGGGGGGGGCGAGCGUUGUUCGGAAUUACUGGGCGUAAAGGGUUUGUAGGUGGUCUGCUAAGUCAGACGUGAAAUCCCUCAGCUUAACUGGGGAACUGCGUCUGAUACUGGCGGACUUGAGGACAGGAGAGGAACGCGGAAUUCCAGGUGUAGCGGUGAAAUGCGUAGAUAUCUGGAGGAACACCGGUGGCGAAGGCGGCGUUCUGGACUGUUUCUGACACUGAAAACGAAAGCCAGGGGAGCAAACGGG
rnacentral:rRNA from 1 species